rnacentral:Y_RNA from 1 species
AGCCACCGAGCCCCGUGGGUUAUCAGAACUUAUUAACAUUAGUGUCACGAAAGUUGGUAAACACCUCCCCACUGCUAAAUUUGACUGGCUUUAA